GAGCAGCUGUGCGCAGGGCUCGGCCGAGCCCGCCAGCACCAUGGGCAUCCCGCUGCGCACCGUCACGUUCACCCGCUGCCGGCACAAGCUCGGUCACAUCACGUUAACGACAGACUUAAUGAAAACGGAUGGAACUGCUGGCUUUGCUGGGGGAAUUGUUUGGCCUUUGCUGUUGCCAGGGAGGACAAUACUGGCAGGAGGAGCAGCGCAUGUCGGCUGGCCAGCAGUCAGGCUGCAGAUUGCUGGGAGAGUGAUUGUGAAGUGAGACAGAUCUGGCACGGGACGGGCGUUUGCUGUGCAGUGUAGAAGCACUGCCUAUGUGGUGUUUUUCUGCAUGGUAUUUACUAUUCUAUAACAACUGUGUUUUCUGCAAGAAGUGGGGAAACCUUAUUGCUACACGGCAGCGAUAUAGCAGGGAAGAUUUUAGAACUAGCCCACUGAGAAACCCAGGAGACUGUACUGAGCUCUCUCCAUCAGUGAAUUAUGAGUUUGUUUCUGAAACAAAGGCACUGAGGGGAUUCAACCAUCCUGCAAACCCUGGCCACAAGUCCACUGCCUUCCUGCAGAGAACCACUGAUCCAGCAUAAGGUGUCUUUAAGGAUCCAUUUUUCUAUUUCUCAUUCCUUUUUAAUGUAUUAAAAAUCUCUUCCAUUAAAUUCCAAGGCCAAAAUAAAACCCCAGCACCUAAAAAUACAUGACAAGAGACCAACAUGUCAGAAUGCCUUCCAAGAGAAAAGGAGCAAAAAGUAUCAAAAGUCAGCAAUUAGAGCAGGAUGACGGUCUGUCACAAACAUUUUAAUGAUUAGUUUUGUCCUUUGGUCCUGGGGGUUGACCACAAAUGACAAACUGUCCAUGGCCUCUGGGCACAACCCAGAAUCCCGGUGUUUUUAUUACACUAAAAGCAUGUUUUAUUGUUUCUGUCCAGGAGCUGGCAACUCAAACACUUGCAGGAGGAUGAGCUGAGAUGACAACACAACAUCAGGCAGUCUCCAUUUUGAUAAGCCUUUGGAAAAUCAUCCUGGUAUUUUUUUCCUAUUUGUAGGCAUCUGUGUUUGUCAUCAGCCACUCAGCAGUUCCACUCUCAAAGUUCUCAAAUGCUCAACCACUUCCCGUUUAAGAUUUAUCUCAAGUGCAGACAAUAUUCUCAAAUAAAACAUCAGCAAAAAAACCUUUGGGGGAUAAGAGAAGAAAGGGAAGAUGGGAAUAAACCUGUGCCUAUUUCUAAUGCUUUCAGUUCAUAAAAAGAAAGAGCCUUUAGUCAGGUCUCUUAUCCUUACCAAGAACAUAAAAAAUGGAAUUUUCUGUUACUGAAAGCUCAAGUAUAUAAUGAGAUUUUCUUUCCAGAUGGGGAAUCUAAAGAGCUUCCCAGGCUCUGGACUAAAUCCAUACAUCUAGCAGUAAAACUUGAGGAAAAAAAGCCCCACCAAAACAUGUCAAGUUGUAUAGUACUUAACAGCAGAAUAGCCGAGACAUGUUAGUGCUGCAAAGAAAAGAAGCUACUCUCAGUUACUGAGAGACAUAACUCCCAAAUUAUUUACUAGGCAAGGACUUCAGGGUAAGGUUCAAAGGCAGCAGCUAAUGUGAAUGGAAGUAUGCAGACAUACAUAUUCCAACAGUGUUUGCAUUCUUUGCUGUUUUCAAAUGGAAGGAAAAAAAAACCCAAACACCUAGAAAUGCUUUUUUUGCUUCGUUAUUAUUAUUCUGAGCUGCAGUACAAAACGAUUUCCCACUUGAGCUACAACUAAUCAGAAACAACACAACCAAGAAAGAGAGCCUUGUAGCUCCAAAACAACUCUCUGUCCUUUUAUUGUGAUGCGUAUGUUGCUCAAUGUCACAAAAUCUCCCUUAUUACUUCAGCUUGCACAGGGUGACUUGGUGAACUUCCAUCCAAAACAAUCUCUGAAGAGCGUGUCUAGAUUUAUUCCUCCUCUCCAUUUUCUAGGAGGAAUGUGGGUUGCUAUUGCACUAUUACCACAGGAAAAAAACACAACUGGAUUGCAGUCAUAUUCUCUUCAAAGAAGUCACUGUGAAUGCAUAUGUUCAGUGUAUUCCAUAUAUGAUACCAACAGAGGAUUUGAGUAGGCAAUUACUUGUAGGCUGUGGCCACCCUCAGCUGUUUGAAGUUGCUCAGUCUUUACUACACAGAACUGCCCCAACAUACACGUACUGACAGACCACGUGCCUAAGAAACCCAACUUUGAAUAAUGGAAAGCAGUGGUUCAAGAAUUACAAUGUUUUACAGUCGUAGAUGAAUGUGAAGAAACUUCUAACAGGAUCUUAAAGGCAAACAGAACUAUGGAAUGUAGAUGGUGGCCAAGCAAUAUGCU